rnacentral:tRNA from 1 species
GCCUGGGUGGCUCAGUUGGUUGAGCGUCCGACUUCAGCUCAGGUCAUGAUCUCACGGUUCGUGGGUUUGAGCCCCGCAUCGGGCU